UUAAAGUAUGAUGUGAUUUUAUACCGCCCCAGUCUGAACUUUAAUGACUGAUUGGUGUAUCUGACUUCA
rnacentral:snoRNA from 1 species